UGGGGAAUAUUGCACAAUGGGCGCAAGCCUGAUGCAGCCAUGCCGCGUGUGUGAAGAAGGCCUUCGGGUUGUAAAGCACUUUCAGCGAGGAGGAAGGUGGUGAGCUUAAUACGCUCAUCAAUUGACGUUACUCGCAGAAGAAGCACCGGCUAACUCCGUGCCAGCAGCCGCGGUAAUACGGAGGGUGCAAGCGUUAAUCGGAAUUACCGGGCGUAAAGCGCACGCAGGCGGUUUGUUAAGUCAGAUGUGAAAUCCCCGGGCUCAACCUGGGAACUGCAUUUGAAACUGGCAAGCUAGAGUCUCGUAGAGGGGGGUAGAAAUUCCAGGUGUAGCGGUGAAAUGCGUAGAGAUCUGGAGGAAUACCGGUGGCGAAGGCGGCCCCCUGGACGAAGACUGACGCUCAGGUGCGAAAGCGUGGGGCAGCAAACAGGAUUAGAUACCCUGGUAGUCCACGCUGUAAACGAUGUCGAUUUGGAGGUUGUGCCCUUGAGGCGUGGCUUCCGGAGCUAACGCGUUAAAGUCGACCGCCUGGGGAGUACGGCGCAAGGUUAAAACUCAAAGGAAUUG
rnacentral:rRNA from 1 species